AGAGUUUGAUCCUGGCUCAGGAUGAACGCUGGCGGCGUGCCUAACACAUGCAAGUCGAGCGAUCUUCUUCGGAAGAGAGCGGCGGACGGGUGAGUAACGCGUGGGUAACCUGCCUCAUACACAUGGAUAACAUACCGAAAGGUAUGCUAAUACAAGAUGAUAUAAGAGAUUCGCAUGGAUUUCUUAUCAAAGCUCCGGCGGUAUGAGAUGGACCCGCGUCUGAUUAGCUAGUUGGUAAGGUAACGGCUUACCAAGGCGACGAUCAGUAGCCGACCUGAGAGGGUGAUCGGCCACAUUGGAACUGAGACACGGUCCAAACUCCUACGGGAGGCAGCAGUGGGGAAUAUUGCACAAUGGGCGAAAGCCUGAUGCAGCAACGCCGCGUGAGCGAUGAAGGCCUUCGGGUCGUAAAGCUCUGUCCUCAAGGAAGAUAAUGACGGUACUUGAGGAGGAAGCCCCGGCUAACUACGUGCCAGCAGCCGCGGUAAUACGUAGGGGGCUAGCGUUAUCCGGAUUUACUGGGCGUAAAGGGUGCGUAGGUGGUUUCUUAAGUCAGGAGUGAAAGGCUACGGCUUAACCGUAGUAAGCUCUUGAAACUGGGAAACUUGAGUGCAGGAGAGGAAAGUGGAAUUCCUAGUGUAGCGGUGAAAUGCGUAGAUAUUAGGAGGAACACCAGUAGCGAAGGCGGCUUUCUGGACUGUAACUGACACUGAGGCACGGAAGCGUGGGGAGCAAACAGGAUUAGAUACCCUGCUAGUCCACGCCGUAAACGAUGAGUACUAUGUGUCGGGGGUUACCCCCCUCGGUGCCGCAGCUAACGCAUUAAGUACUCCGCCUGGGGAGUACGCUCGCAAGAGUGAAACUCAAAGGAAUUGACGG
rnacentral:rRNA from 1 species